UCACUCACCUGGACGGGGUCAACUCGUGAUCAAGAAGACGAGUGGCCUAGGCUAGUGACUUCCAUUCAACAUAAAGGAAGGGUGCUUAGCCUAAGAUCUUCCCAUGUGCAGUGCCGGUCCAACAUUCUCAAUUUUUUCUUGAUGUCCUAAGCUCAUUUAAAAUAUUA
rnacentral:snRNA from 1 species